rnacentral:rRNA from 1 species
UACGUAGGGUGCGAGCGUUAAUCGGAAUUACUGGGCGUAAAGUGUGCGCAGGUGGCUUCGCAAGUCGAGUGUGAAAUCCCCGGGCUUAACCUGGGAACUGCAUUUGUGACUGCAUCGCUGGAGUGCGGCAGAGGGGGAUGGAAUUCCGCGUGUAGCAGUGAAAUGCGUAGAUAUGCGGAGGAACACCGAUGGCGAAGGCAAUCCCCUGGGCCUGCACUGACGCUCAUGCACGAAAGCGUGGGGAGCAAACAGG